GUGCCAGCAGCCGCGGUAAUUCCAGCUCCAAUUGCGUAUAUUAAAGUUGCUGCGGUUAAAAAGCUUGUAGUUGGAUCUCAGUUCCGGGCCGACGGUGCGCCUCCGGCGAUUACAGUCGGUCCGAACAGGUAGUUGGCUUGCACGGGGUGUUCUUUACCGAGUGUCCCGCGUGGCCGGCAUGUUUACUUUGAAAAAAUUAGAGUGCUCAAAGCAGGCUAAGGCCUGAACAGUUGUGCAUGGAAUGAUGGAAUAGGACCUCGGUUCUAUUUUGUUGGUUUUCGGAACCCGAGGUAAUGAUUAAUAGAGACGGACGGGGGCAUUCGUAUUGCGACGCUAUAGGUGAAAUUCUUG
rnacentral:rRNA from 1 species